UCAGGAAUAUUGCGCAAUGGAGGAAACUCUGACGCAGCGACGCCGCGUGGGUGAUGAAGGCCUUCGGGUCGUAAAGCCCUGUCGGGAGGGAAGAAAAGUCUGUCGGCUAAUAUCCGGCGGACCCUUGACGGUACCUCCAAAGGAAGCACCGGCUAACUCCGUGCCAGCAGCCGCGGUAAGACGGAGGGUGCAAGCGUUGUUCGGAUUGACUGGGCGUAAAGGGCGUGUAGGCGGUUGGUCAAGUCUGGUGUGAAAGCCCGAGGCUUAGCCCCGGAAGUGCACUGGAAACUAGCCAGCUAGAGCGCGAUAGAGGAGGGUGGAAUUCCUGGUGUAGCGGUGAAAUGCGUAGAUAUCAGGAGGAACACCGGCGGCGAAGGCGGCCCUCUGGCUCGUUGCUGACGCUGAGACGCGAAAGCGUGGGGAGCAAACAGG
rnacentral:rRNA from 1 species